GCGUAAUACCGGAUAAUUCUUUUCUACACAUGUAGAAAAGCUGAAAGAUGGUUUCGGCUAUCACUCAUAGAUGGGCCCGCGGCGCAUUAGCUAGUUGGUGAGGUAACGGCUCACCAAGGCGACGAUGCGUAGCCGACCUGAGAGGGUGAUCGGCCACACUGGGACUGAGACACGGCCCAG
rnacentral:rRNA from 1 species